UAUAAUAAUCCAUUCCAAAAUCAAUCGACCCUGAGUGUUGUACAUUGUAUAAAAUUUUACGGAAUAGAAAGUGCUCAAUCUCAAGUUAAAAAUGUGUUUGUGUGAAUCGUGUGAUUGCUUAGACAACUGGUGUUGUUCACUGAAGCGAAAAGUUUGGGCUUUUGCUAUUUGGACUAUCAUUUUUGGAAUUUUAGCUUUGAUUUCAAGUGUAGUGCAGUUUAUACAUUUCGAUAAUCUCGAUGCUACUGAGUACAAGGAUGAUGAAUAUUAUAAAUUAACUUAUGCAUUAAAUUUUAACGGUCAUAUUCUUUCGAUUGUUCUGGCGUGCAUUACUGUGCUUGCUGGACUUCUAAUGCUAUACAGUAUUAAAGAAUCCAUCGCACCACUGUACAUGGCGACCAUAGUUGUUGGCUCAAUAUGCCCUUUCGGUUACACUCCUUUAGUGAUAGUGCCAAUUGUGCAAGUUUUAUUUAUAAUCAUUGGAUGUAGAUACUAUUCAACUGUAUUAAAGUGAUAAUAUACAGAUCAUGAAUAUUACAAAUUUUCAAGUAAUUGUCUCUCGAUAUCAAAAUAAAAUUUUCGGAAGCCAAUAAAUCUGGAAUCGAAAUCUUAAAUUUAACAAGUGUAACUGUGAAUCGUGUUUAUGGAUUGACGACUGGUGUGGUACACUCAAAAAGAAAGUUUUGGCUUUCGCUGUCUUUAUGCUAAUAAGUGGCAUUCUAACAUUGAUUUUUGUAAUAUGGCUUUAUAUACAUUUCAAUGUGCAGGACUCAUCAAAGGAAAAAACAUAUCUAUAUGUGGAUUUGCAUGGCCUUGAUUGUCCUUCAACUGCUUGAUGGACUUUUAAUUUUAUACAGCAUUUAUGCAUCGAAUGCACCACUCUUUAUGACGUCCUUGGUUUUCGGUUCAAUAGACGGCAACAAAAGAUUUUUAACUUUAACAUUAAUAUUAACAUUAACAAUAUUAACAUUGGUAUUGUUAACAUUAACAUUGGAAAGCGCUCGUCAGCCAAGGAGCGACGAGUUGAGAUCAUCACCAGUAACCACGAAGUAGACGUUGAGGUCAUACCAGAAAAGUACCAACAAAUGGAGCGAAUGGUUCGACGAUCCAAUCGCUUAAGAAGUGCCAAGCGCAAACAUGGUGCAUCUCAUCAUGCACAUCAUCGGAGAGCACAGCAUUAAAGACAUAUUUCGAUGACACAAUAAUCCUGUUAAACACAUUCGAAUCAAUUUAAUAACAACGCCUGUAAAUAAAGAAAGUUACUAUCAUUUGUUGACUGCAAUAGACCCUUCUCUGAUUAUCAAAGUUGCUAAAAUCUAGACGAUUCUGUCUUGAGAAACUGAAUAAACCUCUUCCCUUACAUUAAAGAAAAUAUUCUAUACUCGUAUAUAUCUUAAAAUGAAACUUACUUUCAAACUACUGUUUAGAUCGAAGUAAGCGUGUCUCAAAUAUAAUAAUCCAUUCCAAAAUCAAUCGACCCUGAGAUUUGUACAUUGUAUAAAAUUUUACGGAAUAGAAAGUUCUCAAUCUCAAGUUAAAAAUGUGUUUGUGUGAAUCGUGUGAUUGCUUAGACAACUGGUGUUGUUCACUGAAGCGAAAAGUUUGGGCUUUUGCUAUUUGGACUAUCAUUUUUGGAAUUUUAGCUUUGAUUUUUCAUGUAGUGCAGUAUACACUUUUCGAAAAUCGCGAUGCUCCUGCGUACAAGGAUAAUGAAUAUUAUAAAGUAACUUAUUCAUUAAAUUUUAACGGUCAUAUUUUAAUGAUUGUUCUGGCGUGCCUUACUGUGCUUGCUGGACUUAUAAUGCUAUACAGUAUUAAAGCAUCCAUCGCACCACUGUACAUGGUGACCAUAGUUGUUGGCUCAAUAUGUCCUUUCGUUUAUACUCUUUUAGUGAUAGUGCCAAUUGUGCAAGUUUUAUUCAUAAUCAUUGGAUGUAGAUACUAUUCAACUGUAUUAAAGUGAUAAUAUACAGAUCAUGAAUAUUAUAAAUUUUCAAGUAAUUGUCUCGAUAUCAAAAUAACAUUUUCGGAAACCAAUAAAUCUGAAAAUUUCGCGUGUUACAUCUAUGUUUGACGUUCUUGGUUUUCGGAUCAAUAUCGCCAUUUGUUAAUCUGUUUAUAACAACGCCAGCUCAUCUUGAUAGUUUUAGCGUAUGUGGUGGAACAUCUUGGGCAUGCUCGUCUUGGAGCGGUCGCAAAGCGAGCGACUUGAGAUCAUCACCAGUAACCACGAUGUAGACGUUGAGGUCAUACCAGAAAAGUACCAACAAAUGGAGCGAAUGGUUCGACGAUCCAAUCGCUUAAGAAGUGCCAAGCGCAAACAUGGUGCAUCUCAUCAUGCACAUCAUCGGAGAGCACAGCAUUAAAGACAUAUUUCGAUGACACAAUAAUCCUGUUAAACACGUCUGUAAAUAAAGAAAGUUACUAUCAUUUGUUGACUGUAAUAGACCCUUAACUGAUUAUCAAAGUUGCUAAAAUCUAGACGAUUCUGUCUUGAGAAACUGAAUAAACCUCUUCCCUUACAUUGAAGAAAAUAUUCUAUGUACAUCUUAAAAUAAUACAUAUAGUACUUUCAAACUACUGUUUAGAUCGAAGUAAGCGUGUCUCAAAUAUAAUAAUCCAUUCCAAAAUCAAUCGACCCUGAGAGUUGUACAUUGUAUAAAAUUUUACGGAAUAGAAAGUGCUCAAUCUCAAGUUAAAAAUGUGUUUGUGUGAAUCGUGUGAUUGCUUAGACAACUGGUGUUGUUCACUGAAGCGAAAAGUUUGGGCUUUUGCUAUUUGGACUAUCAUUUUUGGAAUUUUAGCUUUGAUUUCUAGUGUAUUGCAGCUUAUAUUUAUGGAAAAUCGCGAUGCUAAUAAGGAUGAUGAAUAUUAUAAAUUAGUUUAUGCAUUAAAUUUUAACGCUUUUAUUUUAAUGAUUGUUCUGUCGUGCAUUACUGUGCUUGCUGGACUUCUAAUGCUAUACAGUAUUAAAAAAUCCAUCGCACCACUGUACAUGGCGACCAUAGUUGUUGGCUCAAUAUGUCCUUUCGGUUAUUUUCCUUUUGUGAUAGUGCCAAUUGUGCAAGUUUUAUUCAUAAUCAUUGGAUGUAGAUACUAUUCAACUGUAUUAAAGUGAUAAUAUACAGAUCAUGAAUAUUAUAAAUUUUCAAGUAAUUGUCUCGAUAUCAAAAUAAAAUUUUCGGAAACCAAUAAAUCUGGAAUCGAAAUCUUAAAUUUAACAUGUGUAACUGUGAAUCGUGCUCAUGGAUUGACGACUGGUGUGGUACAGUCAAAAGAAAAUUUGGGCUUUCGCUGUCUUUAUGCUAAUAAGUGGCAGUCCAACAUUGAUUUUUGUAAUAUGGCUUUAUAUACAUUUCAAUGUGCAGGACUCAUCAAAAGUAAAACAGAUCUAUAUGUGGAUUUGCAUGGCCUUGAUUGUCUUUCAACUGCUUGCUGGACUUUUAAUUUUAUACAGCAUUUAUGCAUCGAAUGCACCACUCA